rnacentral:rRNA from 1 species
CGAACGCUGGCGGCGUGCUUACCACAUGCAAGUCGACCGGAAAGGCCCCUUUGGGGGUACUCGAGUGGCGAACGGGUGAGUAACACGUGAGUAACCUGCCCUUGACUUCGGGAUAACUUCAGGAAACUGGGGCUAAUACCGGAUAGGAAUCCUUGCUGCAUGGUGGGGGUUGGAAAGCUUCGGCGGUUUUGGAUGGACUCGCGGCUUAUCAGCUUGUUGGUGGGGUAGUGGCUUACCAAGGCUUUGACGGGUAGCCGGCCUGAGAGGGCGACCGGCCACAUUGGGACUGAGAGACGGCCCAGACUCCUACGGGAGGCAGCAGUGGGGAAUAUUGCACAAGGGGCGGAAGCCUGAUGCAGCAACGCCGCGGGCGGGAUGACGGCCUUCGGGUUGGAAACCGCUUUCAGCAGGGGCGAAGCUUGUGGUGACGGUACCUGCAGAAGAAGCACCGGCUAACUACGUG